rnacentral:rRNA from 1 species
UACGUAGGGCGCAAGCGUUGUCCGGAAUUAUUGGGCGUAAAGAGCUCGUAGGCGGUUUUGUCGCGUCUGCUGUGAAAACCUAAGGCUCAACCUUGGGCUUGCAGUGGGUACGGGCAGACUAGAGUGCGGUAGGGGUGACUGGAAUUCCUGGUGUAGCGGUGGAAUGCGCAGAUAUCAGGAGGAACACCGAUGGCGAAGGCAGGUCUCUGGGCCAUUACUGACACUGAGAAGCGAAAAGCAUGGGGGAGCGAACAGG